AACGAACGCUGGCGGCAUGCCUAACACAUGCAAGUCGAACGAGAUCUUCGGGUCUAGGGGCGCACGGGUGCGUCACGCGUGGGAAUCUGCCCGUUGGUUCGGAAUAACAGUUGGGAACGACUGCUAAUACCAGAUGAUGACGAAAGUCCAAAGAUUUAUCGCCAGAGGAUGAGCCCGCGUAGGAUUAGCUGGUUGGUGAGGUAAUGGCUCACCAAGUCGAUGAUCUUUAACUGGUUUGAGAGGAUGAUCAGUCAGACUGGAACUGAGAAACGGUCCAGACUCCUACGGGAGGCAGCAGUUAGGAAUAUUCCACAAUGGGCGAAAGCCUGAUGGAGCAACGCCGCGUGGAGGAUGAAGGCCCUCAGGUCGUAAACUUCUUUUCUAUGCGAAGAAUAUGACGGUAACAUAGGAAUAAGGGUCUGCUAACUACGUGCCAGCAGCCGCAGUAA
rnacentral:rRNA from 1 species